AUGAAACUGUCAGGCCUUGUGAGCAGCAAUAUCUCUGAUGGUGGCACGGGUGAUGAAGAUGACCAAGGUCAAGGUGAGCACGAGGAAGAUUCAGAUAAUCCCAGUUUAUGCUCCCUGCAGAGUUGUCCCUUGUGCCCAGAGCAGCCCCAGCGGAGAGUCGAAAUGUUCCAAGAGAGCAGCGGAUUUGUCCUUGUGACUAGAUACAGGAAUGUUCUUCUUGUCAUCAAGGAAAGUUAUGUGAAAAUAAUAUGUGGUGUUAGCAUCGAAACUACUCUACGGACGACUCUGCAUGCACGAUAUUUGGACGAUGGCUUUCUUGAACAGUGCAGAUUUGUUAAACUAAACUAUCCAACGGAUGUUGUUGCCAUCGUCCACAAAUCGUGCACAAAGGUAUCGUCUGUGUAG
rnacentral:rRNA from 1 species